rnacentral:rRNA from 1 species
UACCACGGAGUGAUUCAUGACUGGGGUGAAGUCGUAACAAGGUAACCGUAGGGGAACCUGCGGUUGGAUCACCUCCUUACCUUAA